rnacentral:lncRNA from 14 species
CCCGCUCCGCUCGCAGCCGCAGCAUCAGAAAGGCAACGGGGUCAAACUUUGCCGAAACUCGCCCGUUGCUGCUCCGAGCCCCCCGGCGAGCCCCGCCGGCAGCCGGGGCUGGGACCGCCGCAUGACAGCGGCCCCGAGCCCGCUCCGCUCCCUGCCCGCCCGUCCUCCCUCCUUCGCCCAGUCCCAUCCCUCCCCCUGUAUUUCGUUUUUAAACUGCAGCUGUUGAAGCUAAACCUCCUUUGCAAAAAGCAGCAUUUCCUCCCCCAGCUCCGUGGAUUGUGGGAGUAACGCUGCUGAGGAUCCCAGCGGCAAGAGCUGAGCACCAGGAGAGGGGUGUGCGUGUCCAGCUUUUCGGGAAUAGCUGCUGUGCAUUGAGGGGGAUGCAGGAAUCCAGGUUUGGCCGAGUAUUUCCUUCAAACUUCCCAGUGAAGUGCACCAUUACUGUCACUAGUCCCACAACAGCUACAAGACCCAAGAACACGCUCAGGUUACAGGCAAUUUACCAUCACGUAGUACAAGAAAGAAUGGAAUGAACAUCUCCAAGUGCAAUAUCCAGUUGCAUCAGCAGCCUCCAGAAGGUGUUGAAAUCCUUUGACAUUUCCAAGACUCUUUCACACUUUUCAAACAAGCUUGUCACACUUUCUCAGAGCAUCAUGAAUCUGGUGAAACUGCGUCUUCGGCACCUCCAGUUUCAUGAAGCUUCAGACAGGUUUUGCUUCAACUUGGCUGUCUCUGGUAUUCUGGUCAAUGAGGAAAUUACAUUAUCCCAUCCUAAUUAAAUCAGCUUUUUAACUGCAGGUGGAGUUUUCUCUGGGUAUUGUAGUGCCCGUCCCCAUUACACUGCUGGGAGUGAUGAGUGUGGCUGCGCUGAGCCCUGUGCUGAACCACUCCUGUGCCCGAGAUCAUGCUGCUCACUGAUGGGAUGGUUGGAGAGGUGAGGCCAAGCUGCGAUAAGCAUGAAUUAGGAGUGUCUGGUGAUGCUGUGUUGUGUUUCCUUCUGCUCCUCCUUUGAUGAACCUGCCCAUGUCUCAUUGCAGCAUGGCCGUGCUC